rnacentral:rRNA from 1 species
UACAGAGGUGGCAAGCGUUGUUCGGAAUUACUGGGCGUAAAGGGCGCGUAGGCGGCCAUCUAAGUCAGACGUGAAAUCCCCCGGCUUAACCUGGGAACUGCGUCUGAUACUGGAAGGCUCGAGUUUGGGAGAGGGAUGUGGAAUUCCAGGUGUAGCGGUGAAAUGCGUAGAUAUUGGGAGGAACACCAGUGGCGAAGGCAGCCCCCUGGGCCAACACUGACGCUCAGGCACGAAAGCGUGGGGAGCAAACAGG